rnacentral:lncRNA from 1 species
CAUUGGUUGGGAGGCUCGGAAGUCCCAGAGCUGGGUGUCUGCAGGGUUGUGGUCCCUCUGACAGCUCUCGGGGAGGAUGCUUCCUCGCCUCUUCCAGCUUCUGGUGUUUGCUGGGAGCCCUCAGCGUCCCUGGCUUGUGGACACCUUCCUCCCGUCACACGACAUCUGGGGAGCCAUCACCCAGGUGGAGAGAAAGAACAUUUCCACACCCCGGAAGGAUCCCUAGCCCGGCCCAGCCCCACCCCAAGGCAUCCACCAUCACCCCGUCACUGGAACGUCCCAUAAAUGGAAUAAUGCAGCACAUUCCUUUGUGUCUGGCUUCUCUCAUUUGCCAUGAAAUCUACAGAAUGUGUACCCCUGCCGUCCUGUGAGGCAGUAGCUUCUUGCGUUCUUUGCCUGGUAGGGUUUCCUACCCAGAAAGCACCAUAGCAGUUCAGUGGGGAAAAGGAGUGAUUUUCAGCACGUCAUGCUGGAAUGACCGGACAUCAUAUGGAAAACCACAAACCUUGACCUCUACUCCAUUCUGUGCAUAAAGAUGAUCCAAUGUGGAUGACGGACUGCUGCGUGAAGCGUUGGAGGCAGUCUUCAUGGCCUUCGAAAGGCAAGGAAUCGCCAACAGGGGACAAGUCGCCCUCAACUAGAAAAGAAGGAAUACACAGGUUGUACCUGAUUGAAAUUAACAACAUCAAAAGACAUGCUUAAGAGGGUCAAAGGGCAAGCCUGGGCUAGGAGGAAAUAUUUUGUUCACUCC